CCUCGCCUCUCUCAGCCUUCCCAGAACUGAAGAGAGUCAGGGCCUGGCUCUGAACUAGGCUUUGGCUUAAGGGAAUGUUGUGAUUCAUUUGAUCUUCUAUCCAGACCACUCAGACUUUCUCCAUCUCAGCAAUGGUGUUAACACAAGCUGAACAAAAAAGAGCAAAUACAAAAUUCAGUCUAUUACCACUCCGCGUGAGGUGUUCCCAGGACUUGGGGACCAUCACACAGUAAACAGGUGAGAGCAAGUGCCAAUGGGAGUAAAUACUGUAUGUCUCUAAAUUUAAACCAAACACCUAUUAAGAGCUCUGCUUUGAUCUUUGUUGGAGGAAACACAAAG